rnacentral:rRNA from 1 species
CUCAACCGGGGAGGGUCGCGCGAAACGGGCUAACUGGAGGCAGGGCGAGGUCGGUGGAAUUCCCGGUGUAGUGGUGAAAUGCGUAGAGAUCGGGAGGAACACCAGAGGCGAAGGCGGCCGACUGGACCUGACCUGACGCUGAGGCGCGAAGGCGUGGGGAGCGAACGGGAUUAGAUACCCCGGUAGUCCACGCAGUAAACGAUGGAUACUAGGUGUGGCGGGAGUUGACCCCGGCCGUGCCGGCGCUAACGCAGUAAGUAUCCCGCCUGGGGAGUACGGCCGCAAGGCUAAAACUCAAAGGAAUUGACGGGGCCCCGCACAAGCAGCGGAGCGUGUGGUUUAAUUCGACGCAACGCGCAGAACCUUACCAGGACUUGACAUCCCGGGAACCCCUGGGAAACCAGGGGGUGCCCUUCG